rnacentral:rRNA from 1 species
AUUGAACGCUGGCGGCAUGCCUUACACAUGCAAGUCGAACGGCAGCACGGGAGCAAUCCUGGUGGCGAGUGGCGAACGGGUGAGUAAUAUAUCGGAACGUGCCCAGUCGUGGGGGAUAACGUAGCGAAAGCUACGCUAAUACCGCAUACGAUCUAUGGAUGAAAGCGGGGGAUCGCAAGACCUCGCGCGAUUGGAGCGGCCGAUAUCAGAUUAGGUAGUUGGUGAGGUAAAGGCUCACCAAGCCGACGAUCUGUAGCUGGUCUGAGAGGACGACCAGCCACACUGGGACUGAGACACGGCCCAGACUCCUACGGGAGGCAGCAGUGGGGAGUUUUGGACAAUGGGCGCAAGCCUGAUCCAGCAAUGCCGCGUGCAGGAUGAAGGCCUUCGGGUUGUAAACUGCUUUUGUACGGAACGAAACGGUGAGCUCUAAUACAGUUUGCUAAUGACGGUACCGUAAGAAUAAGCACCGGCUAACUACGUG